GUAUUCUCUUUGUCAGCACACAUACUAAAAUUGGAACAAUACAGAAAAGAUUAGUGUGGUCCCUAUGCAAGGAUGACAUGCAAAUUUGUGAAGUGUGCCAUAAUUUU